rnacentral:rRNA from 1 species
UAGGGAAUCUUCCGCAAUGGACGCAAGUCUGACGGAGCAACGCCGCGUGAGUGAAGAAGGAUUUCGGUUCGUAAAACUCUGUUGUUAGAGAAGAACAGCGCAUAGAGUAACUGUUAUGCGUGUGACGGUAUCUAACCAGAAAGCCACGGCUAACUACGUGCCAGCAGCCGCGGUAAUACGUAGGUGGCAAGCGUUGUCCGGAUUUAUUGGGCAUAAAGCGAGCGCAGGCGGUCAAUUAAGUCUGAUGUGAAAGCCCCCGGCUCAACCGGGGAGGGUCAUUGGAAACUGGUUGACUUGAGUGCAGAAGAGGAGAGUGGAAUUCCAUGUGUAGCGGUGAAAUGCGUAGAUAUAUGGAGGAACACCAGUGGCGAAGGCGACUCUCUGGUCUGUAACUGACGCUGAGGCUCGAAAGCGUGGGUAGCAAACAGG